rnacentral:rRNA from 1 species
UACAGAGGGGGCAAGCGUUGUUCGGAAUUACUGGGCGUAAAGGGCGCGUAGGCGGCCUUCUAAGUCGAACGUGAAAUCCCCGGGCUCAACCCGGGAACUGCGUCCGAGACUGAAAGGCUUGAAUCCGGGAGAGGGAUGUGGAAUUCCAGGUGUAGCGGUGAAAUGCGUAGAUAUCAGGAGGAGCACCCAUGGCGAAGGCAGCAUACUGGUCGGCAUCUGACGCUGAGGCGCGAAAGCGUGGGUAGCAAACAGG